ACUGCCCCGGGGCUGAGGUGACGCCGCGUUUGGAGCGGCCCAUGUGCAGCCCGGCAGCCCUCGGCGGCAGCUGUCGGGGAAAGAUCCCAGGGCGGGCGCUCGUGCAAGAGCAGCAAUGAGAAUGCAAGUCUUUGGAAGGCCCUUGGACAUGUUGGAGCAAAAUGAAGGCACCAGCACGUAUUUACAAAGUGUAUAAGUCCCGGCUCCGUUUGUUGCUCAUCUGUUUCCACAGUAUUGGGGUGAGUGUCCAGAACCUUCCCCAGCGCUGCCUUUCUGUCAACGCAGGAGAAUGCCGCAGAUCUUCUCACCACCCUUGUGAUUGUCCCUGGCAGCUGGGACAGCGGGCUCUCAGGCACAGCCACCCGCAGCAAGUGCAGCCACUCUCAGCUGUACCACCCGUGCUGGACUGGGUGCACACACAGUGGGACAUGGAAGUGCUCAGGAAACAUCUCUGUGAGAUAAACUGAACACUCGUGAAGAAUGUGUUUCACUGUUUGGGAGCCCCUGCCAUCAGCCCCGGCCACCAGAGCCAUUCACGAUGGAAGAGGAGGAUGUUAAGUGUCAGCACUUUUGCCUUGCCCACCAGUCCAGGUCAUUCCUUUUCCCGGCGUCUUGCCAAUGCUGCAUCUCAUGCCCAAGGCUCCUCCACAAUUUCCUGGGAAACCCCUCUGUCCCUUGGCUUCUGAGCCCCAGUAUCCUCCCAGAGGAAGGAGCAUUUUGCUUUCAGAGGAGAAGAGCCAUCACAGCAGGCUCCACAUCCCCUGAUGCUUCUCCGGGUGAAGGAAUUUGCUUGAGAGCCACAUCUGUCCCUUGCCCUGAGCUAGCCAAGAUACCGUCUCCUGAGGGCCAGCACCAUUUCAACGGAGAAGCCCCCUCCUAAUUCAGAAAAGGAGAGAUGUCAGCCCAUCCUUCUUCAGAAGCCCACAGACUUUCUUGGCCCCUGGAGUGGUGAAAGUGACUAUCUGAUGGAAGAGAGAUGUCCUAGGAGCUGGUGGGACCUGGAAGACGGAGAUUCCCCCAUGCUUCGACUGGGAUUAUCCUCCAUGACCUUUACCAAGACACUCCCUCCACCUACUGCUUCUGUCUGGCAUUGAUAAAAGCAGAAAACAUAUUUAUCUAAUAAAUGGUCUUGUGAGGAUGAAAUCUAGCAACAACUGCAGGAGACUUGGUUGCUGUGUGAUGAAGAUCAUUUAAGUGUAUGAAUGAAAGGCAGCUUUAUGUGAGGGUUCUCCUGCCUCACUUACUGCCCUUUGACUGGGCAAGCCCAAACAUCCGCAUUUUCUGAAUGAAAGAACUUACAAAGAAGUCUCUGGAGGGAGUGAAAAGGUGAAAGCCUCCACAGGACACUCUGCAGAAGUACUUGCUCUGUUUUAAAAGUAUGAAUUAAAAACCAGAACUUUUGGAGAGAUCAAACUGUGUCCUUUCUGGCCUCAGAGGUUGGAAUCCCCAUAUACUCCAGCAAAGCACAUCCUUGUCCCCCCCCUACCUUUUAUUACCCCAGACAUUGACUAUAUUUGGCUUAGAAGCCAAUUUUUAACUGAAUUGAGAAAGGCCUCACACGAAGGCAGCUCUGCUAUUCUAAACAAGGCUCGUGCAUGGCCAGUUUCAGCAUGCUGCUCUAAAUUGCCUGCUCAAACACUUUCAUGCAGAUCUGGCUGCUUCUGUGGAGGGUGCUGAUAAAAAAGCACAGGGAUGGCAAGCAUUGCUCUGAUCCCCAUUCCCGGGGUGCCAGAGCUGGGAGCUGCAGGCAUGUAGUCACCCCUCCGCAGCAUGCACAUCUGAAAGUGGUCAGCUCCCAAAUCCUCUUGUGAACCCAGCCCAAAAAAUUGAAACCUUUUGUUUCUGAAAUAGGCAAAGUCUUAUUACUUUUUCCAACGAUUUCCCCACACCCCCCCUAAAUUUUUUUGGCUGGAGCCUAGUCACUAAAUCUAACCCAAAUUCAAAAAUAGCUUUGGCUGUCAGUGGGGAGGGAAAGGCCUGACUCCAGCAUGAUGUUCCAAAAAUCUGGGCUUUUGUGUGAGCCUAAGUAGGGGGAGGUUGGUUUAGGUUUUUAAUAGUCCACCAAACCUCAUCCUGUCCUGACACUGGAGCUUUACUCAGAGCUGUUUCUCCUUUGCUGAUGUUGUAUACCCAAGACAAGAUGUUAAUAGUGUGCUCAGUAUGUACUUGGUUCACAGCAAUUGUUGCUCAUUGACAUCUGAGCUGCUUUCUAAAUGAGCCUUCUGAGUAGGCUCUUCAUGAUUAAGAUUUUAGUAUUUCCCACUAUAUAUUUUUUUUCAACAGAUGACUUCAAUGCAGAGGAAAAAUCCUUCCUGUGUCCAGACUGGCAGAAGGGGGAGCAGUCUUUUUAUUUGCUUUUCAGAUUUAAAAGAUUGGUUUGACUCAUUCAAUUACUACAAGUCUCUCUCUUUUUCAAAUCCCAGAAUUUAUUUUUCUAUAAUUCCUUCAUUCUGCAAAUAUCCAUGUUUGGACUUUCUUAGCCAGGUUAUUUUAACCAAAGUUGAAACCAUAGGUUAUAAUUUAAAUCUUGGGUGCAGGGUCUAGCAAGGAUAUUGUACCUUCUGUUUGGAUAGCCAGAAACUCUGUGCUUAUUCCUGAUUCUCUAGUGCAGAAGCAAGGAGAGCAUCAGCCCCCAGCAGGAUGAAGGGUGAGAUCCUAAACUUUUCCCUUGUGAGCAAUCUCUUCGUUUGUACCAUUAACUUCUGUGGAGUCACUUCCAAAGAACAGCCUUGAUUGCUGUGACCUGUGGCAGCCAUAUCUGGUCUUAAGAAAAGCAGGGACACUCUCUAAAUACAUUAAUGGGGUUAUAAAAGUUGUCUCCAGGAAGGAGAGAACAAGUGUGAUGAAUUGAGUUAGCAGGAAAUGGAGCCAGCCACAAUAGUUCUGGGAGACCUGUUCGUGGUCUCCCUCUCAAACCAUAACCAACUGCAGCCAAGCGUGACUUCACUCUUGUUUUUGAGGUGGCCCUGGUGAGUUUUUUAUAAGGCCAGUGAUAGGAUUCCUUGGCAUGCAGCCUGGACUCUGCUGCUUCUUUUGUGGAGGGGGACUGUUGGGUUUUCCCUGCUGUCUCCUGCUGCAGAAGUUGUACUCAGUUGCUACAGCACACUGAAAGCACCCUGGAAAUAGAAGGUUUCUUCCCUUCUAAGUGGCUGUUGAAAUUACUCAGAGCCCUGAGCUACCCUACCACUGAGUCUGCAUGUGCAUUCCACACAACCAGGGCUUUGCACAUGUGGAGCACUUCAUCACCGCAAGCACACCACUGCAGUCAGCAGCAGAUCCCAUGAAGGGAAGGAUGGAUUUUUUGCCCUGUGGGAAGUGGGAAAAGCAGUGCAGGGAGAUUGGCAGUGUGACCAAAACCACGUGAAGUGUCUGUGCUGGAGUACAGCUUUGAAACACGCAUCCUUGGCCGAGUAACAGGACUGACAACCCUUGUGCCUCUUGCUCUUUUUCUUAAUUCCUGGUUAGGAUGCAGCCUGUGGCAGCCUGAACGUGGCUGUCUGUCUUGUGGAGAUCCUCCUCUAGCUGCGAACUAGAGUGGGACCUUCAUAAUUGGCAAUGGUGAUGGCUUUUGCAGGCUUUACUGGCUUUGGUCAGUCUUAGAGAUCUGUUGUUAGCCUGUCACCUCAAACUGGUGACUGACUUUGAAUGAGCGGGAGCAGUUUAUAUCUGCUUACCCACUCACAUAGAGUCAUAAAGCCAUAAAGCUUUAAAAAGAAAGGAGGUUUCUCCUGCAUCUCUGUAGAUACUGCAAAUCCUUCCAUGGCUCUAGAGUUGAUCCUGUCUCCUCUGUUGAUAACAUGUGUGUGCUUGUGCCAUCCACCCCAACUAAAGCUGCUCUGCAAUUCCUGUUUAUUUGACUUGCUUUGUAAAGUAACGUGUCAAUUUGAAAAUCAUUAGGUAUUCCUACCAGGAGUCAAAGACCACAUUCAGAGUGGAUUACACGCAUGUUUCUUAAAAGUGUUAAUGUGCUAAUCUGCUGGUUACUUGAUCCAGGCAAAAUGCCAUGAUAUUCCACAUGAGCAAAAUACCACGGUUCUUGGAGAUUUCAUAUAAAUAUUACCCACUGUGUUUCCACAUUUGAAGUGUUAUACUUGUCUAUUAAAAUCAACAAGCUGGAACUAGUAUCUGGAAAUAAGUGAUAUUACUAUUUUAUUUAUGAACUUCAGAUUCAGAUUCUUUUUAAUAAAAUACCUUACAAAUAAGGAGCA